GACGAACGCUGGCGGCGUGCCUAAUACAUGCAAGUCGAACGAGUGGCGGACGGGUGAGUAAUGUCUGGGAAACUGCCCGAUGGCGGGGGAUAACUACUGGAAACGGUAGCUAAUACCGCAUACCAUCGGAUGUGCCCAGAUGGGAUUAGCUGGUGGGUGGGGUAACGGUUCACCUGGGCGACGAUCCCUAGCUGGUCUGAGAGGAUGACCAGCCACCCUGGAACGGUGGCACGGUCCAGACUCCUAAGGUAGGCAGCAGUGGGGAAUAUUGCACAAUGGCCGCAAGCCUGAUGCAGCCAUGCCGCGUGUAUGAAGAAGGCCUUCGGGUUGUAAAGUACUUUCAGCGAGGAGGCGUUACUCGCAGAAGAAGCACCGGCUAACUCCGUGCCAGCAGCCGCGGUAAUUC
rnacentral:rRNA from 1 species